CCCCUCUCAGAGUCACACCUGCAGAGUUUCCAGUAUUCUACCAGUUUCGGCUAUGGGAGGGAGAGUCAAGCAGAGGUCUACCCUUUCCAUUCCUGGCUUGGCCAGUGGCUAGCAAGUGGAAGGAAAUCUGCUAUAAGU